rnacentral:antisense_RNA from 1 species
UGAUGUGGGACACACAGUGAUUUUCCAGCUCAUACUCUUAGAUUCUGGGCUGAGAUUUUGGGGCUGCCUCCUACGUAGGCCAGCAAGGGCUUACUGCAUAAGCUGAUGAGCAAUAAGUCCAGCACAUCCUGGGUAUCCUUGCACAAUCACCCUUGAGCUGAGACCAGCCCCAUCAUCUGCUGAUCAGAUCUUAGCAUCUUCCGCACAGGUCAUGUCACCAUUCAAACAUCAGCUUUUCAUGAAUGAAG